CCGAGGAUCUAUUGGAGGGCAAGUCUGGUGCCAGCCGCCGCGGUAACUCCAGCUCCAAUAGCGUAUAUUAAAGUUGUUGCGGUUAAAAAGCUCGUAGUUGGAUCUCAGUUCCAGACGGGCGGUCCGCCUACCGGCGGCCACUGCCCGUUCUGAACAGCCGGCCGGUUUCCCUCGAUGAUCUUCACCGGUUGUCUUGGGUGACCGGCAAGUUUACUUUGAAAAAAUUAGAGUGCUCAAAGCAGGCGUGACGCCUGGAUAAUGGUGCAUGGAAUAAUGGAAUAGGACCUCGGUUCUAUUUUGUUGGUUCUUCGGAACACGAGGUAAUGAUUAAGAGGGACAGACGGGGGCAUCCGUAUUGCGACGCUAGAGGUGAAAUUCUUGGACCGUCGCAAGACGAACGACUGCGAAAGCAUUUGCCAAGAAUGUUUCCAUUAAUCAAGAACGAAAGUUAGAGGUUCGAAGGCGAUCAGAUACCGCCCUAGUUCUAACCAUAAACGAUGCCAGCCAGCGAUCCGGCUGUGUUCCU
rnacentral:rRNA from 1 species